AUUGAACGCUGGCGGCAUGCUUUACACAUGCAAGUCGAACGGUAACAGGCCGCAAGGUGCUGACGAGUGGCGCACGGGUGAGUAAUGCAUCGGAACGUGCCCAGUCGUGGGGGAUAACUACUCGAAAGAGUAGCUAAUACCGCAUACGAUCUAUGGAUGAAAGCGGGGGACCGGAAGGCCUCGCGCGACUGGAGCGGCCGAUGUCAGAUUAGGUAGUUGGUGGGGUAAAGGCUCACCAAGCCAACGAUCUGUAGCUGGUCUGAGAGGACGUCCAGCCACACUGGGACUGAGACACGGCCCAGACUCCUACGGGAGGCAGCAGUGGGGAAUUUUGGACAAUGGGCGCAAGCCUGAUCCAGCAAUGCCGCGUGCAGGAAGAAGGCCUUCGGGUUGUAAACUGCUUUUGUACGGAACGAAACGGCUCUGGUUAAUACCCGGGGCUAAUGACGGUACCGUAAGAAUAAGCACCGGCUAACUACGUG
rnacentral:rRNA from 1 species